AGCAGCCGCGGUAAUUCCAGCUCCAAUAGCGUAUAUUAAAGUUGUUGCAGUUAAAAAGCUCGUAGUUGAACUUCGGGGUUCACCCAUUGGUCAGGCUUAAUUGUCUGUACUGGUGAGAUGAGUCUCUACCUUCUGAGGAACUUUCAUGCCAUUUAUUUGGUGUGAUUGGAAAUCAGGACUGUUACUUUGAAAAAUUAGAGUGUUUAAAGCAGGCUAACGUCUGAAUACAUUAGCAUGGAAUAAUGAAAUAGGACGGAUUGAUUCUAUUUCGUUGGUUUCUAGGAUCACCGUAAUGAUUAAUAGGGAUAGUUGGGGGCAUUAGUAUUCAAUUGUCAGAGGUGAAAUUCUUGGAUUUAUUGAAGACUAACUACUGCGAAAGCAUUUGCCAAGGAUGUUUUCAUUAAUCAAGAACGAAAGUUAGGGGAUCGAAGACGAUCAGAUACCGUCGUAGUCUUAACCAUAAACUAUGCCGACUAGGGAUCGGACGCAGUUAAUUUUAUAAUGACGUGUUCGGACC
rnacentral:rRNA from 1 species